GACGAACGCUGGCGGCGCGCUUAACACAUGCAAGUCGAACGGAAAGGCCUGCUUUCCCUUGUGGAUUGCGGGUCCUCGAGUGGCGAACGGGUGAGUAACACGUGAGUGAUCUGCCCCCAACUUGGGUAUAAGCCUGGGAAACAGUGUCUAAUUCCCGAUAGGACUGCAGGGUUGUGCCUGUGGUGGAAAACGUUUUUCUAGUGGUUGGGGAUGAGCUUGCGGCUUAUCAGCUUGUUGGUGGGGGAAUUGCCUACCAAGGCGGCGACGGGUAGCCGGCCGGGGAUGGUGGACGGCCUCAUUGGGACACAGACACGGCCCAGACUGCUACGGGAGGCAGCGGGGGGGAAGAUUGGAGAAUGGGCGGAAGCCUGAUGCAGCGACGCAGCGUGGGGGAUGACGGGAUUCGGAUUGUAAACUCCUAGCGACGGCGAGGAAGGUAACUGGUUGGACGGGUGGUGACGGUAGUGGUACAGGAAGCCACGGCUAACUACGUG
rnacentral:rRNA from 1 species